UGAGCUCAAAAGAUAAAGUUUCUGUCCGGGCUGCAGGUUUUGAAACAAUUUCUUGUAACAGGAGAUGAAACACCGACAGAGGGUUUGCCUCUGGUGGCUGUUUUCAGCCACAGAGAUUUUCUAUCAGAUAAUGUCUAUUUAAGAAGAAAGAAGAGAAAUAAAAGAGAUCAGAAAACGAUGGAACAUUUUCAUCACUGACGUUUCAGCUUUGGGAGAAGCACCUUCAAAGUGUUCGUGUACGCCACAUUAUCCCUGCCAGACCGGCUUAACAUCUCUCACUGGGAGCCAGCAGCAGCCUGAGGUAAAGCCUUCAUUUCUGGAUACAACUGGAAAACAAUGACUAUACCAAAUGGAUCAACUGAAGAUCGGCCCACAGUGGGGAGAAAACCAAAAAAAGAAAGAAAUCAAUGUGCUGUGUUUAUUCAUGUGUGCUUGUGUGUGUGUUUGAGUGCUUGUUUCUGCUUCAUCUCUUCAUCAUAGCUUUAAUUGAUGAA